CCUACGGGAGGCAGCAGUGGGGAAUAUUGCACAAUGGGCGAAACCCUGAUGCAGCGACGCCGCGUGAGCGAUGAAGUAUUUCGGUAUGUAAAGCUCUAUCAGCAGGGAAGAAAAUGACGGUACCUGACUAAGAAGCCCCGGCUAACUACGUGCCAGCAGCCGCGGGAAUACGUAGGGGGCAACAGUUAUCCGGAUUUACUGGGGGUAAAGGGAGCGUAGACGGUCCGGCAAGCCAGAUGUGAAAGCACGGGGCUCAACCCCGGGACUGCAUUUGGAACUGUAUGGCUAGAGUGUCGGAGAGGCAGGCGGAAUGCCUAGUGUAGCGGUGAAAUGCGUAGAUAUUAGGAGGAACACCAGUGGCGAAGGCGGCCUGCUGGACGACGACUGACGUUGAGGCUCGAAAGCGUGGGGAGCAAACAGGAUUAGAUACCCCUGUAGUC
rnacentral:rRNA from 1 species